rfam:Lasallia pustulata genome assembly, contig: scaffold110_size242349
UUAGCUCUCUUUGCCUUCUGGCUUAGAUCAAGUGUAGUAUCUGUUCUUUUCAGUUUAAUCUCUGGAAUUCUUCUACGGAAGAGAUUAUUGAUUAAAUCUCUUUUUGUACCUCGUGGGGAGUCCUCUUUGCUUGCAAACGACUCCUUGCACUGUGUCACCGGCCUUCCACUGCUGUCGGUUGAUGCGAAACUAC